rnacentral:misc_RNA from 1 species
AAAAAUAGGCAUAGCCUAUAUCCACCUUGUGUGCAAACAAUGGAGAGAGAAAAAUGGAACUAAGGGCACUUUUUCUUCGAGAGAGUGUUGCCAACUUCUCUUUUUUUUUUUAUUUUAUAAAACACUAUCAAAAUUUAAAUAAAAUCAUUUUUUUUUAAAAUAAAAAUAUUAUA